rnacentral:rRNA from 1 species
UACGGAGGGAGCUAGCGUUGUUCGGAAUUACUGGGCGUAAAGCGCACAUAGGCGGCUUUGUAAGUUAGAGGUGAAAGCCCGGGGCUCAACUCCGGAAUUGCCUUUAAGACUGCAUCGCUUGAAUCCGGGAGAGGUGAGUGGAAUUCCGAGUGUAGAGGUGAAAUUCGUAGAUAUUCGGAAGAACACCAGUGGCGAAAGCGGCUUCCCUGGUCCAGCACCGACGUUCAGGCACGAAAGCGUGGGGAGCAAACAGGG